rnacentral:rRNA from 1 species
AUGAACACAUCCACUUUGGACAUGAGUUCUUCGUCAUCUUCAUCUGGCGACGAUGAACUCAUACUUGCAGCAUUCGCCGAGCGCGAGGAGGAAGAGAGGAUGAACGCUCGACGCCAUGGCGGUUCCAAGCAUGGACGUCAAACAAUCAAUCGAGGAAGAGAUGCCGGAUUUGUUCUUCUGUGGGACGACUACUUCAAAGAAGUUCCUCGCUAUCCCGAACAUUUGUUUCGACGAAGGUUCGUAAUUACUACACUUCUCUGCUUUAGCCCUUUUUUCAUUUCCCUGUCUCAUUUACUUUUUAUGCACAGAUUUAGGAUGUCCCGUAAUUUGUUCAAACGCAUAGCCGAUGGUAUACUUGAGCAUGAUUAUGAUGGUUAUUUUACUCAAAAAAGAAGUGCUUCUGGAGCUCUUGGGUUACAUCCUCUGCAAAAGAUGACCGCGGCAAUGCGGAUGCUAACAUAUGGAAUAGCAGCUGAUGGUGCUGAUGAGUACAUCCGGUCCGCUGAGGCUACUAAUUUAGAGUCUUGCGAGAAAUUUGUGAUC